AUAAAUGCAUCAGGAGAUUCAUCCAAGUGGUGAGGAAGGUCAUGUAAUGUUAUUUUAGAAGGGACACAUUUGGAUUAGAAUCUCAAGCUUCCACUAUCAAAGAAUCUUUGAAAUCAUGGCCUUAUUCAAUUUCAAGUUAGUCAUUUCCGUCAAUUUUGUCACAUGUGGCAGUCAAUUUGCAUAUGUGGACUGACAUGUGGCACUUGGACACAGUGACACGUGUACUGUUCAAACGGUGUUAGUGACAAAACUAACGGAAAGGACUAACUUGAAACCUAAAAUAAACGUAAGGGACCAAAUUGAUACUUUUUAAACGUAAGGGACCAAAUUGAAACCUAAAAUAAACAUAAGGGACCAAAUAUGUAGUUAAGCCAAAUUAUUA
rnacentral:lncRNA from 1 species